rnacentral:rRNA from 1 species
UGGGAAAUCUGCCGAGUAGCGGGGGACAACGUUUGGAAACGAACGCUAAUACCGCAUAACAAUGAGAAUCGCAUGAUUCUGAUUUAAAAGAAGCAACUGCUUCACUACUUGAUGAUCCCGCGUUGUAUUAGCUAGUUGGUAGUGUAAAGGACUACCAAGGCGAUGAUACAUAGCCGGCCUGAGAGGGUGAACGGCCACACUGGGACUGAGACACGGCCCAGACUCCUACGGGAGGCAGCAGUAGGGAAUCUUCGGCAAUGGGGGCAACCCUGACCGAGCAACGCCGCGUGAGUGAAGAAGGUUUUCGGAUCGUAAAACUCUGUUGUUAGAGAAGAACGUUAAGUAGAGUGGAAAGUUACUUAAGUGACGGUAUCUAACCAGAAAGGGACGGCUAACUACGUGCCAGCAGCCGCGGUAAUACGUAGGUCCCGAGCGUUGUCCGGAUUUAUUGGGCGUAAAGCGAGCGCAGGUGGUUCCUUAAGUCUGAUG